rnacentral:rRNA from 1 species
CGCGGGGGCAACCCUGGCGGCGAGCGGCGAACGGGUGAUUUUUGUAUCGGAACGUACCUUGUCGUGGGGGAUAACACAGCGAAAGCGGGGCUAAUACCGCAUACGACCUGAGGGUGAAAGCGGGGGAUCGCAAGACCUCGCGCGAUAGGAGCGGCCGAUAUCGGAUUAGCUUGUUGGUGAGGUAAAGGCUCACCAAGGCGACGAUCCGUAGCUGGUCUGAGAGGACGACCAGCCACACUGGAACUGAGACACGGUCCAGACUCCUACGGGAGGCAGCAGUGGGGAAUUUUGGACAAUGGGGGCAACCCUGAUCCAGCCAUUCCGCGUGAGUGAAGAAGGCCUUCGGGUUGUAAAGCUCUUUCAGCAGGAACGAAACGGUGGCUACUAAUACUAGCUACUAAUGACGGUACCUGAAGAAGAAGCACCGGCUAACUACGUGCCAGCAGCCGCGGUAAUACGUAGGGUGCGAGCGUUAAUCGGAAUUACUGGGCGUAAAGCGU